GGGCACUGUAUUUGGAUUUUUCAUGCAUGUUUAAGUCCUGAGCAAUGGGCAAUUAGCUGUGUAAAUACUUUCUGGAGAAACAGCACUAUGGUGGUGACAAUCUGAACAAAUUCACUCAUCAUUUAUUUUAAAAUGCAAAUUACAGUACAAAUUUAAGACUUGAGAGGAUUGAAAGGCUGAUCCUGUAGACGGGCACUAGGCUACAUUUAGAGAGCUGAAUAUGCAGUGUCUGCACUUAUGUGGUUCUGCAGAUUUGCUCUGAACCCAGAAUAUAGUUUGAAGGCUCCUGAGACCAUCACCUUGCUGAAGCUAAGCAGGCCUGGGGUGCCGUCAGUGUCUGGAUGGGCAACUGCCUAGAAACAUCACUCAUGCUGCCUUGGACUCCAUAACAGAAGAAAGCUUGGGAUAUAAAUGUUAAAAAAUUAAAAAAAUUAAAACCAUUACAAAGUGCUAUAUCAUGGAAACUAGAAUGUGUAUUAAAAUAUAUAUAUUCUAAAUGCAGUAGUGGUGAAAUUUGAAAGCCUGGGUCUGUAUUCAGUAACUAAUAAAAAAGUAGCAGCAGUCUAAGAUUUAUAUAUUGAGUUAGAUUAUUUCCCUGCUACCUGGGUAAGCAAGGAUAGAACGUCAAUAAUAGAUUUGGAUUUUGGGGUGUAGAGGUAGAGAACCCUUCCCUUUCAUUAAACUUACAAAUCCUAUAAUUCUUUAUAAUUGGUUAUCUAGCUGGGGCUGAUGGAAGUUAAAGGUAAAGGUACCCCUGCCCGUACGGGCCAGUCUUGACAGAUUCUAGGGUUGUGCGCUCAUCUCACUCUAUAGGCUGGGAGCCAGCGCUGUCCGCAGACACUUCCGGGUCACGUGGCCAGCGUGACAAGCUGCAUCUGGCGAGCCAGCGCAGCACACGGAAUGCCGUUUACCUUCCCGCUGGUAAGCGGUCCCUAUUUAUCUACUUGCACCUGGAGAUGCUUUCGAACUGCUAGGUUGGCAGGCGCUGGGACCAAACGACGGGAGCGCACCCCGCCGCGGGGAUUCGAACCGCCAACCAUGCGAUCGGCAAGUCCUAGGUGCUGAGGUUUUACCCACGGCGCCACCCGCGUUAGAGGAAGUUAGAGUUAGGAAGUUAGGAAGUUAGAGUCCAACAAAAUCUGGAUGGUCACAGGUUUCCAACUCCUGUCUUGAGGCCCUUUUUAAUUCCACAGUUCUGUUCCGUACAAUAUAUUCACAUUAACUUGAAUUUUAAGUGCUGGAGUGGUCAGGCUGCUUCUUUGUACUGUGAUAAGCUACAGUACAGCCUGCAUAGAAUUUAAUGUUUUGAACUUGGUGUGUUGGGUAUGUUUCCACCCACCUGUUACUUGAAAGCAAACACCUGCCUACAGUAAAAAACAACAGCUGCCUCAUAUACCCUGAGAGUAGCACCCAUCCCACUUGUCCGCUUUGAUAGGCUAGCUGUUCAAAGUACAGAGAGUCUGAGGUUCCACUUUUCUUGAGGCCCUCAAGCGCUCUACCUGCCCCCUUGAGAAUCUCCUCCUGAGGUCUGAUAAAGCCAGAUUGCAGAGUCACAGCCUGUAUUGUACUGUGUCCAGGAUGAAGGAGAUCCUGAAAGGGAACGUUCCAGUACUUUUCUCUUCUCCCUAGGCUAAUUGAGAGAAGCAGCAGUCACUUUGCUUUGUGGUCCUCUACUGCUAGUUUAUGUAAACCGAAGUUUGAGACAGACCAGUUUAUCUGUCUUUUAUAAACAAACUUGUUUAAUAUAUUGCUUCUGAACAUUUAACAAUCACAUAAACUGUAAUUUCUGGCCCAUAUUUCAUCUACUCAUUCAAAUAUUUGAAUAGAUUAGGGAAGCACCUUAUUAGUUAUGCAGAAAAUUUAGCAUGAUUUAGAGCUUAUUUGAUUCCUCAAACUGUUCAUUCCACUUCUGUUAUUUCUAAAAGGAAAGCUUUAUACUGGCUGAGAGAAUGGCUGCUUCUUGAAAAUACUGACGUGCUGGACCUAGAAGGUUUUAACAAUGUAUUUGGGUGGCAUGCAUAUUUGUGGUAUGGCAAGGUUAAAGCACAUAAAGCGUUUAAAAACCAUAUUGUCAGAAAAGCACUGUUUAAUGUCUGGAUAAGAUAUAAGGACUUGCUUGAAAAUAAAACCCCAAGGUGGCUGUCACCAAUGGACGCGAAGGCUCAGAAAAAGCUCAAUAUGGAGGCCAAUUGGCCGAAAUAUUGGGAAAUUUUGGAACAAGAGGGAGACAGAUUAAAACUGCAGAGUUUUGAAAAAUUAAAAAAUAGAGCGCGAGACUGGCUCCAUUAUUAUCAAAUAAUGGAGGCGUAUAAUUUGGAUAAAAAAAUUGGCUUCCAGGUGGAAAAAUCAAAAUUGGAAACAGAACUGUUAGAUCCCAAAAUUAAGAACUUGUCAAGAAUGUAUAACUUGCUGUUGAAAUGGAAUACUCAGGAUGAAAUGGUGAAAUCAACUAUGAUUAAAUGGGCACAAGAUGUAGGACAUAAUAUUAUGAUGGCUGACUGGGAACAGUUAUGGACCACAGGUAUGAAGUUUACGGCAUGUAAUGCCCUAAGAGAGAAUAUAAUGAAAAUAAUCUACAGGUGGUACAUGACACCAGUCAAGCUUGCAAAAAUAUAUCACUUGCCCGAUAAUAAAUGUUGGAAAUGUAAAGUGACUGAAUGUACAUUUUUUCACCUUUGGUGGACAUGCCCAAGGAUUAAGACAUUCUGGGAGAUGAUUUAUAAUGAAAUGAAAAAGGUAUUUAAAUAUACCUUCCUGAAGAAACCAGAGGCCUUUCUCCUGGGCAUGGUCGGCCAAUCGGUGCCAAAAAAGGAUAGAACUUUCUUUAUGUAUGGCACAACAGCAGCAAGAAUACUUAUCGUGAAGUAUUGGAAGACACAAGAUCUACCCACCUGGGAAGAAUGGCAGAUGAAGGUGAUGGACUACAUGGAACUGGCGGAAAUGACUGGCAGAAUCCAAGACCAGGGAGAAGAGUUGGUGGAAGAAGAUUGGAAGAAAUUUAAAGUUUACUUACAGAAACAUUGUAAAAUUAAGGAAUGUUAGAAGGAUGUUGGAAUGAAGUAAUGUGGUUUUAACAGAGAUACCGUAAAGGAUUAAGAAAAAAAACAGAUUGUUAAAUGGUGAAAGGAGGGAAAGUAAAGUAACAUUAUAUUAAGAUAAAAUAGAGGAC